rnacentral:tRNA from 1 species
CAGGGAGACAACAAAAUGUUUUAUAUAAUUUUGUCACCUUAGGUCGAUCGGUAUCUCACAUCCUUAAUUUAUUAAGGGUUUCAUUUCCUAAGUUUUUCUAGGUCACACCCAUUUUUUUCCUGGGCCAUUAGCUCAGGUGGUUAGAGCGCACCCCUGAUAAGGGUGAGGUCCCUGGUUCAAGUCCAGGAUGGCCCAUAUCUCUAUGUUGGGGGUAUAGCUCAGUUGGUAGAGCGCCUGCUUUGCAAGCAGGAUGUCAGCGGUUCGAGUCCGCUUACCUCCACUGAUUACCACCUCUUCCAUAAUGUGUACGAAGGAAAAAUUUUUGAGUUGUGACCAAAUUCUGAACGAAUCUAGCUUCCUAAUGAAAUCAUUAAGAUGCUGGACUCAUUGAAUUAAUUUCAUUGUUUUCAGAGAACCUUGACAACUGCAUAGAUUAUUUUUUUAAAGACAAUAAGCAUCUUUAUUGAUGCAGAUUUAUUAUUUGUGCGAAUGCAUUAAUAACAAUUCUAUUAAGCUGAUGCUUCAAUUUUUGAAGUUAUU